rnacentral:rRNA from 1 species
GAUGAACGCUGGCGGCGUGCCUAAUACAUGCAAGUCGAGCGAACGGACGAGAAGCUUGCUUCUCUGAUGUUAGCGGCGGACGGGUGAGUAACACGUGGAUAACCUACCUAUAAGACUGGGAUAACUUCGGGAAACCGGAGCUAAUACCGGAUAAUAUUUUGAACCGCAUGGUUCAAAAGUGAAAGACGGUCUUGCUGUCACUUAUAGAUGGAUCCGCGCUGCAUUAGCUAGUUGGUAAGGUAACGGCUUACCAAGGCGACGAUGCAUAGCUGACCUGAGAGGAUGAUCAGCCACACGGGAACUGAGACACGGACCAGACUCCUACGGGAGGCAGCAGUGGGGAAUAUUGGACAAUGGGCGAAAGCCUGAUCCCGCAAGACCGCGUGGGUGAAGAAGGCCUUCGGGUUGUAAAGCCCUUUUGUUGGGAAAGAAAAGCAGCAGGUUAAUACCCCGCUGUUCUGACGGUACACAAAGAAUAAGCACCGGCUAACUUCGUG